GACGAACGCUGGCGGCGUGCUUAACACAUGCGAGUCGAACGGAAAGGCCCUGCUUUUGUGGGGUGCUCGAGUGGCGAACGGGUGAGUAACACGUGAGUAACCUGCCCUUGACUUUGGGAUAACUUCAGGAAACUGGGGCUAAUACCGGAUAGAAGCUCCUGCUGCAUGGUGGGGGUUGGAACGUUUCGGCGGUUGGGGAUGGACUCGCGGCUUAUCAGCUUGUUGGUGGGGUAGUGGCUUACCAAGGCUUUGACGGGUAGCCGGCCUGAGAGGGUGACCGGCCACAUUGGGACUGAGAUACGGCCCAGACUCCUACGGGAGGCAGCAGUGGGGAAUAUUGCACAAUGGGCGGAAGCCUGAUGCAGCAACGCCGCGUGCGGGAUGACGGCCUUCGGGUUGUAAACCGCUUUCGCCUGUGACGAAGCGUGAGUGACGGUAAUGGGUAAAGAAGCACCGGCUAACUACGUG
rnacentral:rRNA from 1 species